GUAGUUAACAGAAAGGAAACAAUUACAGUACACUUUGGUAGCCGUGGUGACAUUCUCCGUGCAAACAGUUCCAUAGAUUGACAAGUGGAUCCAACGUGUCUUCAAAGGUGGAGAAAGGACACGCAGAGCACAAUACUUCAAGAAAGGAAUAACUCCAGAGAAGCUUUGGCUACUUUUCACCUGCUCAGAAUCCUGAACAGGACCAUCUGGCAUGCGGGCAUGUUAACAAGAUCAUAAAUUAGGAGGAGAAAUGAAGCCAGAUUUCCAUAAUGGUCGCAAGACAGAAAUCAACAGUGCCGUGCAGCAGCAAUGGAGUCGGCUUGGAAGUGGAUCACCCCAACACACAUCCUUCUGGAUACCUGACUUUGGAGAGGUCCCCAUCAUUUCUGGAGUGCCUGCAAAGCUGAUCUCUGUUCAGAGCUUCUUCUGGAGGUAGUACAUUGACAGAUUCUUCAGUCUCUCCUUUGGGUGUUCCCUAUUCAGGCUUUUAAACUUGUUUAAAAGUCAGUUUGAUAAGGUCCAGCUUUGCCAGUCCCACAGAUAAUUGUUCUUCCUUUGGACGUGAAAGGUCCUGAAUUUCUGUCUGUGCCUCUCAUCCCAUUUUGUACAUUCAGCUCCCUUUCCCGUUCUUUCUCAUUAAUGCGGAUGCAUGCUUUGCCUAUUUUAUUUGUACUUUGUUUAAUCCACAAUUCUGGGACUGGCUAAUCAAUUCUUCUCUGUAAUUUAUUAAUUUCUGCUUUUAUCUUUAUCAAUUAUGCACUUCCAGUUUCCCUGGAUUUAUGUAGCUGUGCUUCCAUAUCCGUCCAUGAUGAGGAAAUUUAUUUGUUUUCAUUUGCUUCUUUGAUUUUUCCCUCAAUUCAUGACAUUUUCUUUACAGUCUAACUCAAGGUCAGACUUUGUAAAUGUCUUCUGGCCCCUAAGAGAGAAAAUGAUUUCACUUCUCUCAACAUUAGUGGCAUAAAUAUUUGCUCAUUGAAUAUUCAGGUAAGUGCAAACUUACCUACCUACCUACCUACCUACCUAUCAUCUGUCUGUCUGUCUGUCUGUCUGUCUCUCUCUCUCUCUUUCUAUCUAUCUAACUUGGAUUUUGGAUUGCUCAGAAAACAUUUCCCCUUUAAGUAUUUUUGUGAACGUUUUCUUCAAUUCUAACCACUUUUGCCUAAAGCAUUUGUAUGCAACCUCAUUGUGUAGUGAAGGGGCUGGUCUGUUAUGUCUUCCUAAUGGGUGUCACCUUGCAUUUCAUUGGCCCUAACCAUUGUUUAACAACCAGCUUCUACAUUUUGGGAGUAGCCUUGCUCUGGUUAUAACUCCCACAGAUAACAUAAAGCCAAACCUUAUUUCCUGAUCCAUUUAAGAUUCUGUUAUUAAAUGCAGGGGCCAGAUCACUUUUGUCUUUUUUUCCCACUUUUAUAUUUUCUUGCUCUUUGCAUCACUUUAGAAUGUUACUUUUAUAAGAUCAUUGUUUAGUUAAUACAUGUUUAUUUAUCUGAAAUUGUUUUCCUACUUUUACAUGAUAUAAAGCACCACAUAUAGUUAUUUAAGCUGUACAAAUAUUAGUGUACCUACUUUUUAUAACUAUCGAAGUCUAUAUGAAGCAGUGACUAAGGAUACAUGGGGACAGAGAAUGCAGACUCCAUACCUUCACAUCUUUUUCUUCCUUUCCCACAAAAUGACCCAUUUAGUCCUGUCAAAUAAAGUAGUUAUCUCUGCAUUGUGGCUAUUGGUUAAUUUGUCUGUAGGUUCUAAGAAUCACUAUAUUUGUGUUGCCUUUGUGGAGGGAGGGUCUGUAGGGCAAAUCCAGAUUCCAUUUUUUAUUAGCACCGAUCACAACUAGACUUUUUUAAGGAACUUUUUAGUUCCACUCUCAAGGUCAGAGUCAAUUCUUGUGAUUCUGACUCACAAUGCAGGUACCACAUAGUUUUAUUUGCUGUAGGGCUGCAAGUGGAAUGUAGAGCCCCUUCCGUUAGUCAAGUGUUCUAUCUCUAAUUGACAACCCAGCCUCACAUAAACUAUCUUAGUAUCAGGGGGUGGCUGUUUACAUUUUCAGAAUUCAUGCUCAUCUGAGAAAGUCUUUGUUUUGUCUUGGAAAGUAAAUGGCUUCUUGCCUGGUGCGUGUGUCACCAGAUCAAAGCUCUCCACCCCCCCCACUCCCACCCCCUUCCCCCGCACUGGGCAUUGCCCCCUUCUGGAAUUUACUUGGAAUGGCUUCAUACUGUGGGAAUCAGUGUUGCAAAUUCCACUCCCCUGUUGUUCCCCUGUUGGUAGCUUUUUCCUUUGUUAAUUCUUUGCCUAGACACUUGUUGAAUUAUUUUUUAUUCACAUAAAGAAUAUAAAAAUCUUUAUAAAAUCUAUAUAGAAUAUACAUUAUAUGAUGUAAUGAGUUGGUUAGUGGCUUGUGCCUUGGAAGUCCAUCCCACCGACCUAUUCAAGUCUUCCUAAUUCCAGGAAAGUUUUCUUCCACUUUGUCCUAUGUCGCCCUUUAAACUGGUCAAAUUCGUUUGUAUUCAAAUUCUUGACCUAGAUAUUACUUUCACCCUGAAAGUCCCGGGGCUUUCCUCUGGCUUCCUUCAAGCUUCUGAAACAUCUGCAAGCUGAACUUCACUCCCUGUUGGUUUUAGUUAUGGAAUGUUUAAGCUCUUCGCUGUUCCUCGCCAUUUCUAGUGGCGUUCUCUGUCUCUGCACAUGCUUUCCUUGACUCUCCGUGUGCUUAAGCAAGCUUCUAUUUAUUCUCUUGUCAUUCUGUUUCAUCCAACAUUUUAUUAAAGACAUGGUCUUCUCCAUUUCAAUUAAGUAAAUGCAAUCUAAUAUGUUUAAUACAUUGUUCUAGAUAUUUUCAAUAAUUUCGUCCUAGUUUCUGUUGAUACAAAAACCACAUCUCUCAUCUUAAAGGGAAUAAGAGAUCGUUUAUUCUGGAGUCUUUUGGCGUGAUCAUGGGCCAGGACCUCAGAUUUAGGUUAUCUCAAAUUCCAGGUUCCAGCAUGGAAGCAUUUUCAUGAAGUUUUAUAGUUUUCCCGUAGGAAGAAAUUCAUAUAUCAAAGCAAAUUUAAAUUAUAAUGGUGGGUGCAUCACAGAGGCAGGCACAGAGAGAUGGAGGGAGCUUUUAUAUAGGCCCAAGAUGCUAGCUGAGCUUUUGGGUGGGUCAAAGCUAUUGGUCUGCUAGGAUAAUAGAUUCUAAAAGGUUUCUAUUUAUUAGUUGCAUGAUGUCAGUGUUGAUACCAAGGGAGGCAAAUGAUGUCUGUUCUGAAAGGGUUAGAACUAGCCCAUGGCAAGGUAAGUAGCUUCUGGACCCAUAGCAUCCAGUCUCCCCAUCAUGCUGCAGUUCCGACCAGUCGACAAGUGUCUACAGAGAUUCCCUUCCUGGAGAUCCUGUUCACACUCAUUAACACCGAUUAUCAUUUUAUAUGAUUCAUGCUUGUAAUAUAGUUCUCCUUUUUUAUCCUUAACUGAUUUACCUUGAAAUACAACAGCUCUCUUCAACUGAACCACAGCCCUAUAAGCAGUAAGUACUAAUAGAUUCUCCCAAGAGCCCUCCUCUACCAUCCUGGAUGGGGUUCCCCACUUGGAUAAUAAGUUGCUAUAACUUACUAUAACAACUAAGAUCAUGGAUCCAGACAAACAUGUGCACAGGUCCAGGAUGGGACAAUGAUUACUGGGAUAUAUCUUUUUGCCCAGGCUAAGCUUUUUGUGUUAUGUACUGACAGUGUAGAGUGCUGUCCUAUGCUGGCUGCAAAAGCUGCCCAUAGCUGGGGUUGAGAGCCAGAUGCAUGGAGGGGCGUGAUAUCUGACGAUCAAUUUCUUGGUGGCUGCCGAGUGUUAUGGACGUCACUUAGCUAGCUCCUGUUCAUACUUUGGAUUUCUGUUUCAUUCAUUCAUUCGCUCAUCCAUUUAUUUGUUCAUUUUUUUAUUCAUUCAACAAGUUCUUCAAAUUAAUGCCAGACAUCAAACUACAUUCCCAGGAAGUUCAAAGACCAUGGAAUAGAAUAAAUAAAAGGAGGAGGAGAAGGAGGAUGGAGAGGAGGAGAAGUAGGAAACUAGAUAUUUUCAGCCUAUAGAACAGUAAAGUUUAAAAAAAAAACUUGAAAGACGUGAAAGUAUUAGAGCUUUACCUCCAGAAGAACAGAGGUAACAAUUAUAUCCAUUUUUAGAAAUAGCUAACAGAAAAAUAGUAAAGUGAAAUAUUUAAGCUAUUAAAAUAAUAAAGUCAUCCAAAAAUUCUGUAUCCUGCAAAACUGUGCCUCAAAAGUAAUGGAUAAAUGAAGACUUCCUUAGCUAAAGAAAAAUUGAGAUAUGUUGCUAUCAGUCCUGCAUUACGUGGACUUUUUUUAUGAGUCUCUUAUAUAUUACAUCCAACCACAGUUUCCCCUUGUUUCUG